rnacentral:rRNA from 1 species
GCCAGACUCCUACGGGAGGCAGCAGUGAGGAAUAUUGGUCAAUGGGCGGGAGCCUGAACCAGCCAAGUCGCGUGAGGGAAGACGGUCCUACGGAUUGUAAGCCUCUUUUGCCGGGGAGCAACGGGGUCCUUGCGAGGGCCCAAUGAGAGUACCCGGAGAAAAAGCAUCGGCUAACUCCGUGCCAGCAGCCGCGGUAAUACGGAGGAUGCGAGCGUUAUCCGGAUUUAUUGGGUUUAAAGGGUGCGUAGGCGGAAUCCCAAGUCAGCGGUAAAAUCGCGGGGCUCAACCUCGCUCCGCCGUUGAAACUGGCGUCCUUGGGUGGGCGAGAAGUAUGCGGAAUGCGUGGUGUAGCGGUGAAAUGCAUAGAUAUCACGCAGAACUCCGAUUGCGAAGGCAGCAUGCCGGCUCCACACUGACGCUGAGGCACGAAAGCGUGGGUAUCGAACAGGAUUAGAUACCCUAGUACUC